CAAGAGAUAGUUUAAAUAAAAUAUUAAUUUUGGAUAUUAAAGAAGUGAACCUCUCUCUCUUGA
rnacentral:tRNA from 1 species